rnacentral:tRNA from 1 species
ACCUCGAUGGCGAAAUUGGUAACGCACUUUCCCGGAAAGAAAAGAGUUCCAGGUUCAAAUCCUGGUCGAGGUG